GCGGGGCCCGCCUCCCCGACGCGUCUCUUCGGAUGCCAUUGGCUGCAUCCACAGUGUGGCCGAAAGCCUGGCCGUCGAUUGGGCGUUCGGGCCGUCAAAUCCCGCGCUGCCCACCCAGAGGUUUGGUUGAGACUGCAGGUGGCGGCGGAGGUGCCUUAGAGACUUCUGGCAGGGCCAGAGGAGACCUAAGCGCCACCGUGCGCCAGGACAUGGAAACUGCAUCUCCGGCGCCAGACACCUGCCCGCAGGUUCUCUUGGCUCCGCGUCUGACACUCCAGACACCUGCUGGCAUCCACCCGCACCUCACCCCACCCCGCAUCCCCCCCAGCUCCGGAACCAAAAGUCAAGGGCUAUAAUUUCUCCAAAUACCUCCCUCAAGUGCGACAGAGACGCAACUCUCCCAAACGAGCAUCCUUUUGAACCACCUCGAAUGCAGUCCCUGUCUUCAUCUUGCGGAAAUGGUCUCAGCUCGGUGCUAUCCCUCAUAGAGGAUCUAGUCACAAAAUUUCAAGAAUCCACCAAAACACAGCAUGAUUUGCCUGCUCAGUCCUCUUCAGGAAAGAUCACAAGCAUGCAAAACUACCAACAAGUAGUAAGCCCGAUAAAUAUUACCUUUCCUCUUCUACUGACAAGGCCAUCCUUGAAAAUAAGGAACACCUCACUAAUAUAAAAUUCUUUAAGGCAUUCAAGUUCCAGCUCUCCUGUGCAACCUUGGACAAGUUUCCCAUCCUCUCUAAGCCUAUUUCCUUGUCUGGUGAAAACAAAAGAGAGGGUCUUGCUGAAUCGCCAAAGAUGGCCUUGAAUUUCCCCUGCUGAAGGCUCCAGAGUUACUGGGAUUACAGGCAUGCAUCCCUGUGCCUGACAAGUUUUAAGAAGAAUCAUGUAAACUUACAGCUGCUACUGUGAGCAUAUCAAAAACUUUGGUACAGUAUCUCCAAGCAUUAGCAUUUCCAUAUUUGGUUUGGCACUCAUC